AUUGAACGCUGGCGGCAUGCCUUACACAUGCAAGUCGAACGGUAACAGGUCUUCGGAUGCUGACGAGUGGCGAACGGGUGAGUGAUACAUCGGAACGUGCCUAGUAGUGGGGGAUAACUACUCGAAAGAGUGGCUAAUACCGCAUGAGAUCUACGGAUGAAAGCAGGGGAUCGCAAGACCUUGUGCUACUAGAGCGGCCGAUGUCAGAUUAGGUAGUUGGUGGGAUAAAAGCUUACCAAGCCGACGAUCUGUAGCUGGUCUGAGAGGACGAUCAGCCACACUGGGGCUGAGAAACGGCCCAGACUCCUACGGGAGGAAGCAGUGGGGAAUUUUGGACAAUGGGCGCAAGCCUGAUCCAGCAAUGCCGCGUGCAGGAUGAAGGCCUUCGGGUUGUAAACUGCUUUUGUACGGAACGAAAAGCCCUGGGUUAAUACCCUGGGGUCAUGACGGUACCGUAAGAAUAAGCACCGGCUAACUACGUGCCAGCAGCCGCCGUAAUAC
rnacentral:rRNA from 1 species